UACGUAGGCAGCGAGCGUUGUUCGGAGUUACUGGGCGUAAAGCGUGCGUAGGCGGUCUUGUAAGUUUGGUGUGAAAUCUCCCGGCUCAACUGGGAGGGUGCGCCGAAAACUGCAAGGCUGGAGUAUGGGAGAGGUAGGCGGAAUUCCUGGUGUAGCGGUGAAAUGCGUAGAUAUCUGGAGGAACACCGGUGGCGAAGGCGGCAUCCUGGACCAACACUGACGCUGAGGAGCGAAAGCCAGGGGAGCAAACGGG
rnacentral:rRNA from 1 species